UGAGGAAUAUUGGUCAAUGGUCUGACGCACUGAACCAGCCAUGCCGCGUGAAGGUSACGGCCCUAUGGGUCUUAAACUUCUUUUGUCAAGGGAGCAAUAAGGCGUACGUGUAGCGUCGAUGAGAGUUACCUUGCGUAAUAAGCAUCGGCUAACUCCGAUG
rnacentral:rRNA from 1 species